rnacentral:rRNA from 1 species
UACGUAGGGUGCGAGCGUUGUCCGGAUUUACUGGGCGUAAAGCGCACGUAGGCGGAUUGUUAAGUCAGGGGUGAAAUCCUGGAGCUCAACUCCAGAACUGCCUUUGAUACUGGCGAUCUCGAGUCCGGGAGAGGUGAGUGGAACUGCGAGUGUAGAGGUGAAAUUCGUAGAUAUUCGCAAGAACACCAGUGGCGAAGGCGGCUCACUGGCCCGGUACUGACGCUGAGGUGCGAAAGCGUGGGGAGCAAACAGG